rfam:Streptomyces vitaminophilus strain ATCC 31673 Contig1, whole genome shotgun sequence.
GCCGGUCCUCGGUAGUGGCCGCCGGGAACGGACCGCACCCACCGGUGCGCGAGGUCCCGGGGGCUUCGAUCGAUGACCGGC